rnacentral:rRNA from 1 species
AUUGAACGCUGGCGGCAUGCUUUAUACAUGCAAGUCGUGCGGCAGCGCGGGGGCAACUCUGGCGGCGAGCGGCGAACGGGUGAGUAAUACAUAGGAACGUAUCCUGAAAUGGGGGAUAGCUCGGCGAAAGCCGGAUUAAUACCGCAUACGCUCCACGGAGGAAAGCAGGGGAUCGCAAGACCUUGCGUUUCUGGAGCGGCCUAUGUCUGAUUAGCAGUUGGCGGGGUAAUAGCCCACCAAGGCGACGAUCAGUAGCUGGUCUGAGAGGAUGAUCAGCCACACUGGGACUGAGACACGGCCCAGACUCCUACGGGAGGCAGCAGUAGGGAAUUUUGGACAAGUGGGGCAACCCUGAUCCAGCCAUGCCGCGUGAGUGAAGAAGGCCUGGUU